UACGUAGGGUGCAAGCGUUACUCGGAAUUAUUGGGCGUAAAGCGCAUGUAGGCGGCUUUGCAAGUCUGAUGUGAAAUCCCUGGACUCAAUUCAGGAACUGCAUUGGAUACUGCAAGGCUAGAGUAUGAGAGAGGUAGGCGGAAUUCCUGGUGUAGAGGUGAAAUUCGUAGAUAUCAGGAGGAACAACAGAGGCGAAGGCGGCUUACUGGAUCAUAACUGACGCUGAGAUGCGACAGUGUGGGGAGCAAACAGG
rnacentral:rRNA from 1 species